GACGAACGCUGGCGGCGUGCUUAACACAUGCAAGUCGAACGGAAAGGCCCUUCUUUUGUGGGGUGCUCGAGUGGCGAACGGGUGAGUAACACGUGAGUAACCUGCCCUUGACUUUGGGAUAACUUCAGGAAACUGGGGCUAAUACCGGAUAGGAGCUCCUGCUGCAUGGUGUGGGUUGGAAAUUUUCGGCGGUUGGUGAUGGACGCGCGGGUUAUCAUCUUGUUGGUGUGGUAGUCGCUUACCAAGGCUUUGGCGGGUAGCCGGUCUGAGAGGGUGACCGGACACAGGGGGAGAGAGAAAGGGCAGAGACGCCUAGGGGAGAGAAGAGGGGGAAAUAGUGCAAAAGGGGCGGAAGCGAGAUGGAGAAACGGCGCGGGGGGGAAGAGGGCCUGCGGGGUAAAAACCGCUUGCGACUGAGAAGAAGUGUGAGUGACGGUAAUGGGUAAAGAAGCACCGGCUAACUACGUG
rnacentral:rRNA from 1 species